AUGUGCCAGAGAGAAUCAACAGGGCUCAAUCAACACACAUCUGAAAGCUUUUUAGUAUCCACUAACAGGAAGGAUCAAGAAAAGACCUCACCUUGUUAUAAUCAUGCUCAUCUAGGUGUUUUCUAACUCCAUAUUUAAUUACUUUUUACUGAGUUUAUAUGGUAGAAAAACAAAUCUCAUUGAUCUGUAGUUCUAAGAUCAACCCUAGGGCCUUUGAUAAAGAUUUGUACAUUUGCUACCAUAUAGAACAGUAAUUUUUUUAAGAUGAGAGAUUACAUAUGUUUAUAGCUCCCUCACUAAAUUCCUUAAACAAAUACCAUAUGGUGCCAGUCGCUUACUGCAAUUUAAAUAAUCAGCUUGUUACAAGACCUUUUUGAUACCUCGCUGGCUGACAAGACUCCAUCUUUAUUAUCCACCAAAUUACCUCUAGAGCAAAGAGUGAUGAAAAGAAGCCCUUUAAUCUCUCUCUGGAAUGCCUUUAUCUAUCUCAGUUGUCCUCUUUACUCCUUAGGAGUUUAUCUGACCCACUGAAUCUCUUGUAUCCCUCCUGUUUCUGAGACUCUUAAAGUAGCUCUAUGUACACCCUGUUAGAUGCUCAGUGCCAUAUACUCAGCCCCCACUUCAGAUGUUCUACAUCUUUCCUGCAGUGUAAAACAGCCAAGAAGCCUACUUAAGCAGAUAUCUGUCACAGAACAGUCCUCAGGAGGAAAAAAGAGAAAGCCUGGCAUCACAUCCAUUGGAGCAGAGGGCAGGAGGGAUGUGCAGUGAGACCACAUACAAGAGCAUACCUUUUCUGACAUGGGAAGAUCAGAACUGCACACAAGCACUGCUGCACAUCGAGUAGAUGUCUUCAGGGAAACAGACACAGUGACACCACUCAAGCAAGAUCUUGGAAAUAGCAAAUUUAGACUCCAUCAUUUUCUUUGUAUGUUUGGGAAUAUGUUUUCCAGUGUGUAUUACUUUGCAUUUAUCAACACUGAAUUCAACAAAGAGACUAGGACUUUUCAACUUGGAAAAGAGGAGUCUAAGGGGGGAUAUGAUAGAGGUAUAUAAAAUCAUGAUAGGUGUGGAAAAAGUGAAUAAGGAAGAGUUAUUUACUUGUUCCCAAAACAUAAGAACUAGGGGUCACCAAAUGAAAUUAAUAGGUAUCAGGUUUAAAUCCAACAAAAGGAAAUUUUUCUUCACUCAGAGCAGAGUCAAUCUGUAGAACUCCAUGCCAGAAGAGGUUGUGAAAGCUAGGACUUUAACAGGGUUCAAACAAGAACCAGAUACAUUCAUGGAACUUAGAUCCAUCAAUGACGACUAACCACGACUGGUAAGGAAUGGUGUCCCUAGCCUCUAUUUGUCAGAGACUGGAAAUGGAUGACAGGAGAGUGAUCAGUUGAUGAUUCUGUUCACUUCCUUUUGGGGCAUCUGGCAUUGGCCACUGUGAAAAGACAGAAUAUUGGGCUAGAUGGACCUUUGGUCUGACCUAGUAUAGCCAUUCUUACGUUUUUAUAAGAGGUGGAAAGUAACUAAGUAGAAAUACUUCAUUCCACUACUCAAAUACAUUUUUUGAUAUUUGUAUUUUACUCAAGUAAUUUAUUUUUGUGAUACUUCAACUUUUAGUCAAGUAGGUUUUUUUUUUAAAUACUGUACUUUUUACUCCACUGCCAUUUCCAGAAGCACUUAGUUACUCACUACUUUCAGCACUCCGGUGAUAGUUGUGCAAAAUGGGAUUCUGAUUUGCACAAGUACAGCUGCAAGCACAAAGCAUCCAAUUGCCAUGCAGUGACAAUUUUUUUAAAAUAACCAAUCAACAAGCACAAAGACCAUGCCAACGAAGAAGCCUUUUAAUAGCUGUAUCAACACCUUUUCAUUCAAAAACUGAUUUAAGGGUGUUCCAGCCAUCCAAGCCCUUAACACAACAGAAGAGGUUGAGGGAGUGGUUUACAAGAUACUUCAUCUAAGGUUCACUUUACACAAGGGUGAUGAUCUUUGGGCUAACUAUGCUAGUUUGGGGGCACUUUGUACCAGCAAAAAGCAGCCACAACAGUGGGCCUCUAGGUUUAAUGAACUUUAUGGGUAAAUAGUGGCCACCUCAAAAAUUUUGGCUUUGCCUUAUGACAGGAUUAGUAACAGUACUGGUUUCCCCUAUACUUCAGAUGCAUGUAAGCCUUCUGAAUAUUGAAAAGGUAUCUCAAACAAACAGAAAUAAAAAUAAAAUUACACUGAAAAACUGAAAAAUA